rnacentral:rRNA from 1 species
UGACACUGAACAUUGAGCCUUGAUGUGUAGGAUAGGUGGGAGGCUUUGAAGCGUGGACGCCAGUCUGCGUGGAGCCAACCUUGAAAUACCACCCUUUAAUGUUUGAUGUUCUAACGUUGGCCCCUUAUCGGGGUUGCGGACAGUGUCUGGUGGGUAGUUUGACUGGGGCGGUCUCCUCCCAAAGCGUAACGGAGGAGCACGAAGGUUAGCUAAUCCUGGUCGGACAUCAGGAGGUUAGUGCAAUGGCAUAAGCUA